GAUGAACGCUGGCGGCGUGCCUAAUACAUGCAAGUCGAGCGAACAGAUGAGGAGCUUGCUCCUCUGACGUUAGCGGCGGACGGGUGAGUAACACGUGGAUAACCUACCUAUAAGACUGGGAUAACUUCGGGAAACCGGAGCUAAUACCGGAUAAUAUAUUGAACCGCAUGGUUCAAUAGUGAAAGACGGUUUUGCUGUCACUUAUAGAUGGAUCCGCGCCGCAUUAGCUAGUUGGUAAGGUAACGGCUUACCAAGGCAACGAUGCGUAGCCGACCUGAGAGGGUGAUCGGCCACACUGGAACUGAGACACGGUCCAGACUCCUACGGGAGGCAGCAGUAGGGAAUCUUCCGCAAAGGGCGAAAGCCUGACGGAGCAACGCCGCGUGAGUGAUGAAGGUCUUCGGAUCGUAAAACUCUGUUAUGAGGGAAGAACAAAUGUGUAAGUAACUAUUCACGUCUUGACGGUACCUAAUCAGAAAGCCACGGCUAAGUAGGUG
rnacentral:rRNA from 1 species